rnacentral:rRNA from 1 species
UACGGAGGGUGCAAGCGUUGUCCGGAAUCACUGGGCGUAAAGGGCGCGUAGGCGGCUCAUGAAGGCUGUGGGGAAAGUCCGGGGCUCAACCCCGGAUCGGCCGUGGCGACUCGUGGGCUGGAGCACUGUAGAGGCGGGUGGAAUUCCGGGUGUAGCGGUGGAAUGCGUAGAGAUCCGGAAGAACACCAGUGGCGAAGGCGGCCCGCUGGGCAGUGGCUGACGCUGAGGCGCGACAGCGUGGGGAGCAAACAGG